AAUGCAUGAUAACAAUAAUAAUUAAUAAUAUUAUAUUAUAAUAUUAUAUAUUAUAAUAUUAUGUAGUACUUAUGUACAUUUUUAUUCGUAAUGACUUCCCGAGUCUUGUCGUUUUAAUUUCAUUUGGGUAAUUUGUCAUGGAAUUGCUCAAUUGCUGUAAAAAAAUCAUCAUGUACAAUAUGAAUAGGCUGUGUUCUCGGGAAAGAAACCUUACAAACAGGACAACGCUGUAUCCGUUCUGCACAUCCGUCACAGCACCAUCCAUGGCCACAUGGUAAAAAAAUGUUUUCCGCGCCAACCUCAUCGUGAUUUUCUUAACAAACAAAAUAUCUGUCGAGGUCUUCAUCUACACAAUAAAAAAAAUUUACCUAUUGGUGGAUUAUUUACUCCUCAGCCUCUGUCCUGUAUAUGUCCAAUUAGUCUUCCUCUACGUCUUGGAAUCCUAUUAUUUGGGACUGGACCAACGACUUGCAUAUUACCACGACUACGGCAUCUAAUCCUACGAGGUAGUAGUGGUGGUGGGAGUGGUAGGGGUUCCAAAAUAAUGGCACCUACUUGUUGUUUGAUAUCUAGAUUAUAAGGUAAAUAUAAUUAUAGUUGGCUGUAAAAACAGAACUUAUUUUCAAGUUUACUAUUCGGAAUGGGGCCUAUUUGCUCAUUUAAAUAAUUAUUUGAUGAGUAUGCUACUUUUCAAAGGUAGGCCAUAGUGUUGCUCCGUCCAUUUUGUACAAGCCGUAAUGCAUCAGCCAAGAUAUUCUUGUUAGUAUCCCUAGAAGUAAUAAUUGAUCUCCUUACCUAGAACAGUAUGUUUCAAUAAGUUUUACAAUUAUAUACAAUAUGUACUGACAGCUUGUAUGAAAGAAUAAUAAUUUUUUUUAGUUAGGUAAAUUAAAUGUAUUACUUGUUGACCAUAAAUUAUUUGACGAGUUUCUCUUCGUACUCGAUUUUCUACAGAAUGCAGCCCAUCUAUAAUAAUUAAAUUAUGUAUGUAAUUGUGGUUAAUAUACUUAAAUAAGCUACUAAAUUAAUUUUUAAAAAAAAUCACCCCAAAAAGUCCAAACCGGUGGAUGUUGGCCAAUAGAGGUUUUCAACAUGCUGUGAAAACUCUCUAUAAAAUUAUUGGUCCGAAUAUUUAGACCAAAAACAGAAAAUCCAUCUGGAUGAAUAAUAUUCAACCAGAAAUUUUGAAUGUAUUCAAAAACAUUUUCAAGAUGUACAGAUACAUCCAUACUUCUUGCUAAUUCUUGAAUAGCCAUGAAACCUCCAAGAAUGUGGAAAUAAUUUGGGAGGUCUUGACAUAUACCAGAUGGCAAAUGAGCUAAUGCUAUAACUUGUGGGAAUAAAUAUUUAUGUACUUUAUUUUCCUGAUUUUAGUUAAAAAUUUAAUUUAAUACAUUUAAGAGGCGUCCUUGCCAUCUUAAAGACAUAAUAGUCUCUCCCAAAGCCCUCAAAGUGUAUGGUACUUCUGGACUAAAUCUACGCUGAACCUGGCGUAUUACUCUAAGGGCAUGUUCCCUUGAUACCUCUAUUGCUGCAUUGGGAUAUCUGAAAACAAUAGACAUCUUCAUAAAUUGCUCUUGCUGGUAUAUCCUUGUUAGAAGCUCUGAGUCUUAAUGCUGCUAAAUAUUGGCCAAUCUCAAUAUCAUUACCUGGCCUAUGAUUAUGUGGCUGGUACAUAACAAUUGGUUCAUUCUUGGGAAAUAGUGACAUGGAUGCAGUCGAUCCACAACCUCGUUUAUAAAAUUGAACAUCGUAACUGCCUACAACUAUAAUAUUUUUAUUUAUAAUUUUUUAUGUACAUUUAUUAUUUUAUUUAUAUAUUAACAUUCGAUUGGUAGAUACAUGAUUUUUAACUUAGGUGUAAUCUUGUGGAUCUGCAUAUAUUAAAUUGCCUCUCAUACCUGAAAUUCUUCUAGAUUGCAAAUUAUCAUCAACAUUUCCCAAAAGAUGAGGAAUGUUAAUCAUAAUUGGAGAUAGAGAUCUAGAACGCGGUGUUGGAUCACUUUGGGAAUUUAAAUUAAUUAAAUUAAUAUAAUUUAACAAAUAAUUUUAAUACCAAAAAAGUUAUUUUAUUUAAGUAUUUAUUGCUGUAAAAUUUUCUCUUUUUUGUUUCUUAAAUACAUGAAAAUUUGAAAAUAAUUAAAGUGUACACAAUUUAAAUCCAAUUUUUAAACUAUUUAUCUAUAAUUUUAAUUAAUUAAUUAAUUUUUCAAAUCAAUAUUUGAAUGAGUUCAAAUAGUUGAAUCAAGGAGAAUUAUUAUUGAAUCUAAUGUAACGACUUAUGGAUUGAUUAUAUAGUGGGAGAAUAUUAUUAUUUAAAGUUAAUAGCAGAUUCCUCGGAAUAUGUUUGAAACACAUUAUAACAUACAAAAAUACUGUAAUCUUAAGUUUGUAUGCUGGUAUAGUAAUUAUACCUACUUAGAUCUACUAAGUUUCUGGAGAUUGAAAAUUGAAAAUGAUAAAAUAAUUGCAAUAUUAGAACUAUUACAUAACUAUUGCUAUAAUAAUAUACUUUAUAAUUCGGAAUAAAUUGAAUCAAAAUAUUAUUUUUUUCUAAGCUAGACGAAAUCUAGUGCACUUCUUCCCGAUUUUAGACUAGACCAUUAUUAUAUUUUAUUUAUGGUAUAGUUAUUACUUAUUUUUGAUUUGAUUUUAGAUUCUGAGCAGAGAGAUGAAUAUAUUGAUUUUACAAUGAUUUGUUUUUUUUGUGUCUAAAAGCUCCUACUAUAUUGUUACAAUGACAUUUUAGUCACAGUUUUUUUUUUAUAAGCAUUUAAAGUUCAAAACUUGACAAAAUAUGGAAAAAUCACGAAAAUUAGCAAAUUAUUUUAAAUUAAGAAUUCAUAAAAAUUUUUCUUUUUAAAUCUAAAAUUAUAAAAUGUAAUACAAGAUUCCUUAUAAGAUUAUCUAUCUAUUCUAUCUAAAUCAAAAAAAAAAAUGCCUAUAAGAAAGUCAAAUUAAAUUCUUAUAAGUGUUUGAAAUUCAAGUUUUUACAACAUUGGAUAUUCACUCGAUUUCUCAUGUAGCGAU